rnacentral:lncRNA from 1 species
AAAGGUGUUUGCAGUUCCUUUCGGGGUCUGGCUUGAUCUGUGGUUUGUAAUUGUUGCAGUUAAUGACGGGAUUCUUUAUGCUGUGGCUCGUGGAGUUAACCUCUACAUUAGGCAGCUUGAAGUGAAACCUGUGGGCACAGAGAGCAGGAUGAACAAAGGGGAUGUACCAGAAGGAAGGAAGUCCUUUCCUUACUACUGCAAAUACGACUUUUUUCCUAUCAAGCAUCAAAUUAACUUAAAGGCUAAAAUCAGCUCAAAUGAAGACAAACCAUACAAGUCCUGAGACCCUGAGCUGUCAGUUUGACUUAAUGUCAGGAGAUUGCCAAAGUUUCAGCAUCAGCAUCUGUGCUCACCAGCUUCAACAAGAUUUAGAAGAAAGAAAAGAAAGAAAAAAGCAGUUUAUAUUUUGUUGCCUCUAUUUCCGAAGACAGGGUGGAAAGGAAAGCACCACCACAGCACAGCAUUUCUUUGACUGA